UAGUUUUGACAGAAGAGGAAAACAUGACACUUGAAAAUUUUGGCUCAUUUUGAAAUGACUUUUUUAUUUCAGAAUUUUGACAGAUUGUUUGUGAUGACCCAGCCCGUCGUCUCAUGAGUUACUGUCCCGUUUCCCCCAUUUUAUGCUUCUUCAUGUUUUAUUAUCGGUAUUUGGUGCGUUAGAGUUAAUUUGGAUUGGUUUUGGAAGAAAAUGAGACACAUAUUCUUUUUGAGAAAGGUUUGGUUUGGAAAAGUCCAUCGGAUGUUGACUUAUGAGUUAGAGAGAUCGGAUGUGAUUUACGGUAAUUUGGUAACUUCGGGGGAUGAUUUUUGACUUACGAUCAUGAUCGGAUUUGAUUUUGGAGGUCCAUUGUAAAUUAGGUUUGAAUUGGCGAAGUUAGUGUUUUGGCGAUUUCUGGUUGUUAAGUGAGAUUUUUAUCCGAGGGUCGGAAUGAAAAUUUGAGAGUUGCAAUAGUUUUGUUAGGUGAUUUGGGAUGUGUGUGAAUAUUUUCAGAUGAUUCGGAGGUAUUUUGGUCGGGUUUUUGAUCAAAUGCGUGUUUCGGAAGUUUUAGAAGAACUUAGGCUUGAAUCUUAUGUAAUUUGAUGGUUUUGGCAUUGUUUGUGGUGUUUUAAUGAUUGGAGCAAGUUUAAAUGAUGUUUUAGGAUGGGUUGGAACUUUUGGUUGAGGUCCUGGGGAUCUCUGGGUGAUUUCGGAUGGCCAACGGGGAGAAUUUUGGACCUGUUGCAUUUCAAAAAUUUCUGGUAUCUGGUAUUUCCGCUUCUGUGAAAAAGUAUCCACAAAUGCGGUUCCGCAGAUGCGGUAAGGGAGUCACAAGUGUGGUUUGGUGUCUCAAGGAAGCUUCCGCAGAAGCGAACGGUGGUAUGAAUAUGUGGUCACCGCAGAAGCGGGAUUGGACGCAGAAGUGGUCAUGGCGUAUUAGUGAAGUUCCGUAGAAGAAGAUUGAAACCGCAGAAGUGGUAGUCGCAGAUGUGGAAAGGGAACCGCAAAUGCGAAAAAGACUGUUCUGAGAAAGGGUUUUAAAACUCAUUUGGUUCCACAAGCUUAAGUUCAUUUCCUCCAUUUUUGAGCAACUUUGAGAGCUUUUGGGCAGAUAUUGAAGGUGAUUUCGACUAGGUGUGAUUGGAGGUGAGUUCCUUGACCUUAAU
rnacentral:lncRNA from 1 species